rnacentral:lncRNA from 1 species
UGAACAUGUGGAUCAGGUACAAAUUGUUAUAAUUAGUUUCUCAGCUGAAACACGGAUUGUAAUCUACAUCAUGUCCACAGUUUACAAUUUUGAUUUCAAAGUCCCGUUAGAGAGGUGUCUCAUUGGCAUUUAUACCAUGUUUAUCUAUACGUAUGUUUAUAUUGUGAUACCUGAAUUUCAAUAUUACCACUAACUUCGCAUCUUCCUAAACCUUCUUAAAUACAUUCAAUCAAAAAAUGAUUCAUUAUCAAAUAUUUAACAUGGAUCAGGUACAAAUUGUUAUAAUCAGUUUCUCAGUUGAAACACGGAUUGUAAUCUACAUC